rnacentral:lncRNA from 1 species
CUAAUUGUAAUAAUAACAAUUUGUAUAACUAAAAAUAAAGAUUUUGAUAAAUGUUUGUUAACAUUUAACCCAUAUGAUCCCAAAACAUGUAUGGUCAGCUGGACCGUACGCGUAUACUCAUACGGUCCGACCGUACGCGUAUGGUCGGACCGUGCGAGUAUACGUAUACGGUCCGGACCGUACGCGUACGGUCCAAAUACUCGUAUGGUCUGGAACAUAGACAAAACUA